GUAGUCAUCGCUGAGGGGGGCCGAGGGUGAGCGGGCGGCUCUGGCCGGCCCCAGCCUCAGCUUGCCGGAAUCCAGAACGGGAGUCUCCCUGAGCUUGUCCCAUCCAACCCCUUAACCCGGAGGAGAGCUCUGACAGAGGGGCCGCGUGCGGCCUGGUCAGACUUGAAAGCCCUUUGGAGCACUUCCUCCAGGAAGACCCCCUGCCUGGGAGUGCCCCAGGACGCUGAGCUAGAGCGGGGUGGGUGUUGGCAGACAGGUUAAAUGAUAUGAUGUGUCUGCAUCUGAAGGCAGAACCUGGCCUAGGCUGAGAUCAGGAAGAGCCUGUAGAGGUGGUAAACAGCAUGUGCAAAGGUCCCAGGGCAGUGUAGAUGGUUAAACAGAAUCUGCAGUGAACAUGGGCCAAACACACUUCAGGGUUACUGAAAUCUGGGGCAAGGCCCUGGGUGAAUCCCAGCACAACGUAUGAACUUCCCACAAAAAAAACUUUCCUGCCAGGCAUGGUGGUACGGCCUCUAACCUCAAUCCUUAGGAGGACUGAGUGCUCCAUAGCAAGGUUGUCUCCAAAUGAACCUGCACCUGGUUGUUCCUCUUUGUAGUGUUUUCUGCCAUCUCCCAGAGCAGCCAUGUGGGGCUGCCUUUUCCACCCGGCUUUGGAUUGGUCUGAGCUUAAAAGGAAGGAGGAAGGAUCCCCAUCACCCAGGCUGGUUUGGAACUGACCCACCUCAGCACCCCGAGGGCUGAGGUCACAGAUGUGUGGGGUCCUGUCCCCCAGGCCCAGCUUCUCAUUUUUGAGCUGGUGCUGGACUUGGACGCUGGGCCUUAGGCACUCUGCUUUUUUGCCAGUGGUUUACCACUUUUGAGCCAUACCACCCUCCUGGCAUUUAGCAGGUCAAUGGCUAUGAGUCUGGACUUCUCUGAACCAGCCAGGUCUGAGUAGCCUGGAUGGCAGGCUGGAUCCCUGGUGGGGGGGGGGGGGGGGGGGGAUUUUCUUUGGGCCUGGGGAACUGAGAACAGGGCUGUCCGUGCUCCAGACCACAGGGUGGCGCUCGAGCUCCGCUCACUGCCAGAGCCCACCUAGCAGGAAGCCACACAGAGCCCCGGUGUGCUGGCGGGGACCCACCUGUGGCGAGGGGCCGGGAAGUCAACUUCAAGGGUGCCCAAGGGGACGUAGGGCCGGGCAGCCUCCCGCCUCAGGGUCUGCAUGUCUGCCUCUGCAUCCCAAGGCUCCGGGAAGGGAGGUACUAGGGCCACUGUUGACAGGGACAAAGGCCACCCACUCCGGUGUCCUGGCAACGGGCGGGUGGUCAGCCCUGGGCCCCGCCCUGCCUUUGUCCUCCCCCUCCCCAGCGGUGGGGAGCCACUCCAAUGGCUAGGGGGCAUUUGGGGCCCCUCGGCACCCUCCAGCUCUCCCGCCCUCGCCCCUCCCUGACCUAACACGGCGCUCUCAGCAGUAAUGGGGAGCACUGCGCCCACCGCCGGAGGAGCACGCAGGGCACCGCACCCCCACGUGGGAACAUCACACACCCAGGCACAGGAACAGGCUCGAGACAUACAAAGGGCCACACCGGGCUCUGUGGAUGAGAAACGUCCAGAACUGGACCUGCACAGGAAGUGGACGUGAGGGGUGGGACGGACAGGGAGGGGUCUCGGCGGCAGCUCCGGGGAUGAGCUUCCUUUUGGUGAUCAGGGGAAGUUCUGAAGUUCGGAUUGUUAUAAAACUGAAUAUACUAA